rnacentral:lncRNA from 1 species
AUGUGUUUGAUUUGUGUAUGACUCUAGGGGGUCCCUUGCCUCUCCUUAUAUAGUUAGAGGGCAUGGUUACCGAUCUAGAAACUAAUCCUAGUUGGUUACAUUUACCAUAGAUAACACGAUAUCAAUCCCUAUUCUAACCAACUAGAAUCCUGCUUGAUCUCCAUGUCUUGUUUUCUUGCGUGAAACUCCAAGCAGUUGGAUCAAGCCUCGAGCUGUCUUGUAAUGGGCCAAAUCUCCUAGCCCAAGUCUAGCUGUAAGGGUAUAGGUGUUUAUACCCCCACACUAAUAGACUCUCUCCUUGUCAUAAUGUUAUUCCUACAUAACUACGCUCAAAAAGAAAAUCAAAACUCGAGGCUCGAAUUUAAUAAUAGGUUAGCAGUCAGCUAGUAAGUAAUUGAUUGUUCUUUGAGUUGAUUUGAAUUGAUAGAUUCUUGCAGGAUUCUCUUUUUUAGGAUUUUUUUAGUUUAAUUAUGUAGAAAUUAAAAAUGUGUGCAUGAUAUAUAUAGUUGUAUUUUUAUGCCUCCGCAGAGAAUAUUUAUUCUUAUAGGGCUUAAGAUUUUUUUUCAUACUGCAAGAAAGUAAAUACAUGAGCUAUUAUUAUUUGUGCCACCCAAGUAAAUAUUCCUAUAUGGUUAUCAUAAGUUUAUUGACGUGGGGCUUUAAAUAUUUUAUGAUGUAGUAAAUGAAGGAAUAAAGAUUUUUAUUUUCUUUUAUUUUUAAUAUUUAUGAAGAUGAAUAUGUUAUGGUAAAUUUAUUAAUGUAGAUAGAAAUACUAAUUAAAUAUAUAACUACCAUAUUACCUUAUGACAGGAAUAUAAUUUUUUAAAAAAUUUACCGAAGGACUUGUUCCACUCUUGUGUAUCUCUCUAUCUUGAGAGAUGGAGGUCUUGUUAGUUGCAUACCUCUAGUGAUGAUGAUGUCACCUUUGUUCUUUGAUUUGGCCAGCAGGUUGAAGGAUAGUUUUAAUAGUAGUUGGCAGCAUCUUGUUCAGUGAGCAUGUUCACAGAACUUUCACUUGUAGAAUUAAUAAAUUUUCUUUGAUGUGUUGUCCUGUUUGCAAAACUAAGGUAGAGAUCAAGUGCAUGGGCUCUGCUGGUGGAAAAACACCAACAGAACCAAAUAUAUUUCUUUAUUUAUUUUUCUCCACCCUUAGGCACAUUAAACAAGAUAAAGUUAUGUUACAUGAUUUAUUUAUUUAUGAGUGAUACGAUCAAAAGAUUAAGCCUUUAAUGUUGCAUUUAAGUUCACAUUACAGAAAAAAAAAUGAAAUUGCUUAACAAAUAGAAGGAUUGUCUAUCUUUAUAUAUAAAUUUUCAAAUAAGUAUGAUUAUCAUCUUCCCAAGAUUGAAUAUAAUGUUUUAAUUUGUUUAGUUAAGACUGAGAUUAAGAGAAUGGUGCCAUGAACAGUUUUAAAGAGCAAAGUAUAUUGAGUUAAUCAAUUUAAGUUGUAACUCUAAUAUAUUUGUGUCUUCACUUAUGUGCACACCAAGGUCAAAAGAAGAGAGUGACCACUUACCUUAGAAUAUUGUUGACAUUUACUACCGCCAUCACUAAAAAUAGAGAUAACCCUACUCCUAGUAACAACACUAGAAAUG